rnacentral:rRNA from 1 species
GACAGAGGGUGCGAACGUUGUUCGGAAUUACUGGGCGUAAAGCGCAUGUAGGCGGCAGCGCAAGUCGGGCGUGAAAUCCCACGGCUCAACCGUGGAAGUGCACUCGAAACUGCGCAGCUAGAGUCCUGGAGAGGAAGGUGGAAUGCUUGGUGUAGAGGUGAAAUUCGUAGAUAUCAAGCGGAACACCGGAUGGCGAAGGGCGGCCU